UGGGGAAUAUUGCACAAUGGGGGAAACCCUGAUGCAGCGACGCCGCGUGAACGAAGAAGGUAUUCGUAUCGUAAAGUUCUGUCCUAUGGGAAGAUAAUGACAGUACCAUAGAAGAAAGCUCCGGCUAAAUACGUGCCAGCAGCCGCGGUAAUACGUAUGGAGCGAGCGUUGUCCGGAAUUAUUGGGCGUAAAGGGUACGCAGGCGGUUUAAUAAGUCGAAUGUUAAAGAUCGGGGCUCAACCCCGCAAAGCAUUGGAAACUGAUAAACUUGAGUAGUGGAGAGGAAAGUGGAAUUCCUAGUGUAGUGGUGAAAUACGUAGAUAUUAGGAGGAAUACCAGUAGCAAAGGCGACUUUCUGGACACAAACUGACGCUGAGGUACAAAAGCGUGGGGAGCAAACAGG
rnacentral:rRNA from 1 species